GGGAAGUUGGCAACAACUCCUGCUUCAAUCCCUUCGGCUUCAAACUGAAAUCGAGCUUGUCAACCUCGCUU
rnacentral:sRNA from 1 species